rnacentral:rRNA from 1 species
UACGUAGGGGGCAAGCGUUGUUCGGAAUUACUGGGCGUAAAGGGCGCGUAGGCGGCCCGUGCAAGUCGGGAGUGAAAGCCCGGGGCUCAACCCCGGAACGGCUCACGAAACUGCGGGGCUCGAGUGCGGAAGAGGCAAUCGGAAUUCCCAGUGUAGCGGUGAAAUGCGUAGAUAUUGGGAAGAACACCGGAGGCGAAGGCGGGUUGCUGGGCCGACACUGACGCUGAUGCGCGAAAGCCAGGGGAGCAAACGGG